CGGACGGGUGAGUAACGCGUGGGUAACCUGCCUCAUACAGGGGGAUAACAGUUAGAAAUGACUGCUAAUACCGCAUAAGCGCACAGAGCCGCAUGGCUCGGUGUGAAAAACUCCGGUGGUGCAAGAUGGACCCGCGUCUGAUUAGCUGGUUGGCGGGGUAACGGCCCACCAAGGCGACGAUCAGUAGCCGGCCUGAGAGGGUGAACGGCCACAUUGGGACUGAGACACGGCCCAAACUCCUACGGAAGGCAGCAG
rnacentral:rRNA from 1 species